rnacentral:rRNA from 1 species
AUACGUAGGUGGCGAGCGUUGUCCGGAAUUACUGGGCGUAAAGGGCGCGUAGGCGGCCUGUCAAGUCAGAUGUGAAAUCCCCGGGCUUAACCCGGGAACUGCAUUUGAAACUGGCGGGCUUGAGGGCAGGAGAGGAAAGCGGAACUCCCAGCGUAGCGGUGAAAUGCGUAGAUAUUGGGAGGAACACCAGUGGCGAAGGCGGCUUUCUGGACUGUCACUGACGCUGAGGCGCGAAAGCCAGGGGAGCGAACGGGAUUAGAUACCCCGGUAGUCCCGGCUGUAAACGAUGGGUACUAGGUGUUGGGGGUAUCGACCCCUCCAGUGCCGCAGUUAACGCAAUAAGUACCCCGCCUGGGGAGUACGGCCGCAAGGUUGAA